UACGUAGGGUGCAAGCGUUAUCCGGAAUUAUUGGGCGUAAAGAGCGUGUAGGCGGCCUGAAAGGUCAGCUGUGAAAACUCGAGGCUCAACCUCGAGACGUCGGUUGAAACCAUCUGGCUAGAGUCCGGAAGAGGAGUGUGGAAUUCCCGGUGUAGCGGUGAAAUGCGCAGAUAUCGGGAAGAACACCCGUGGCGAAGGCGGCACUCUGGGACGGUACUGACGCUGAGACGCGAAAAGCGUGGGGAGCAAACAGGG
rnacentral:rRNA from 1 species